rnacentral:rRNA from 1 species
UACGAAGGGGGGCUAGCGUUGCUCGGAAUCACUGGGCGUAAAGCGCACGUAGGCGGCUUUUUAAGUCAGGGGUGAAAUCCUGGAGCUCAACUCCAGAACUGCCUUUGAUACUGGGUAUCUUGAGUAUGGAAGAGGUAAGUGGAAUUGCGAGUGUAGAGGUGAAAUUCGUAGAUAUUCGCAGGAACACCAGUGGCGAAGACGGCUUACUGGUCCAUAACUGACGCUGAGGUGCGAAAAGCGUGGGGAGCAAACAGG